UUGUUGCGGUUGGAUGUUUCGAUUGUUCUGACAAAUCUUCUUAUUCGUUACAGCAUGUGACUUCCUUUUAAUGCAAAUUUAAUUGUUUUGUGGUGGUUCUGUUGUAUAAUGAAGCUGGGUAUUUGAAAAGAUUCCAACUUUAUUUGCUGAAUGAGCAUUGGGGAUGCUAGUUUCAGUUUAAUUGUCUUGAAUGUUGAUUUGUUUUUCUCUAUUUCUGCAUAAUCAUGUGUAUGUUUCUGUCGAUGUUGGUGGGUAUUAUUAUAAACUAUGUGAGGUUUAUUAAUGGCUUUCUGCUGGGGUUGUUUAAGAGCAAUUGUAGUUUUUUUAAUCAGAUAUUAUUGGGAAGAAAUAGUAUAGAUGAUGCACAAUCAUCCUAUUUUGUUGCAAUACUCUGUCAAUGCAAGAAUCAAAGCAGAAUUUCGUGUUUGCAGGCUGGAGAUAUGGACUUUUUUGUGCUCUCAUUGAAAAUGCUUUAAUCUGAAAAAUUCAAAAUUUCUAUUGAUACAUUUCUCCUGCGCCAAUAUUCUGUACCCUACAGAAUAUAUGAUGUAUGAUUCUGGUCUGUAUGGUACUAGUGGCUGCCGCUAAUCCAUCUAUAUGCAUCAUACACUACAUAACUUCAUUAUCGAACUGUUGGAAUAUUUGAUAUGGAACAAUUUCUAUUUGGCAUUGACCUUUUGUUGGUAUAUAGCUUUCUCUUUUUUGUUUAAUUUUGCGGGCAAUGUUUGUGUUCUGGAUUGUUUCUUUUUGUUUUAACACUUGUCUAUUUGAAGCCCCCGCUUUUCCUAAUAAAAACACAGAGGAAAAGAGAAUUCAAACACCAGCGGUGAAUAAAUUCAUGGGAUUUGUAGAUCAAGUUGAGAAUUCAGGCCCUUUGGGUUAUAAUGAACAAGAUAAGAUUCAGAAGGCGAAGGCUUAUGUAUCGAGAAGUUGUGGGGAGCGAUUUCAAGUUCUAGCAUUGUUGGAAUAUAUUGAGGCACCAUCCAAAGUGGCUUGAAACCAACAGGGUAGCUGGAAGAAACAAGCCAACCACUACAUCUUCUCCAUCUACGCCUACUUCGGUGAACUUAGAUGAAGAUAGUACUCCCUCCCUCCACAAGUUGAGCUUUUUUAGCAUUAGCAGGUGUCAAAGAUUUCUCGUACAACAAUGACAAUAGCUACGAGUUGUUGCUCUUUAUCUUGUCUUUUCAUUGAAGAACAGAGAACCCAACACAAGCAAUCUCUUGUUUGUGGUUACUGACUGUAUUUUGCCUAGUUUGUAGGCGAAGUAUAAGCAGAAAUUCUUUCAUUGAAAAUUAUAUCCCAUUUUCAGCUUGAGACUUGUCAAGAUAACUUAAGAAGUCUAUUUUGUUGUUCAACCACCUAACAGGAAGAUCGCUAUUUUGUUAUAUAUGUUCUCUUUCU